rnacentral:rRNA from 1 species
CAGUAGCCGCGGGAAAACGUAGGUGGCAAGCGUUGUCCGGAUUUAUUGGGCGUAAAGCGAGCGCAGGCGGUUAGAUAAGUCUGAAGUUAAAGGCUGUGGCUUAACCAUAGUACGCUUUGGAAACUGUUUAACUUGAGUGCAAGAGGGGAGAGUGGAAUUCCAUGUGUAGCGGUGAAAUGCGUAGAUAUAUGGAGGAACACCGGUGGCGAAAGCGGCUCUCUGGCUUGUAACUGACGCUGAGGCUCGAAAGCGUGGGGAGCAAACAGGAUUAGAUACCCCCGUAGUCCCUGUCUCUUAUACC